AGUGAACGCUGGCGGUAGGCCUAACACAUGCAAGUCGAACGGCAGCACAGUAAGAGCUUGCUCUUACGGGUGGCGAGUGGCGGACGGGUGAGGAAUACAUCGGAAUCUACUUUUUCGUGGGGGAUAACGUAGGGAAACUUACGCUAAUACCGCAUACGACCUACGGGUGAAAGCAGGGGAUCUUCGGACCUUGCGCGAUUGAAUGAGCCGAUGUCGGAUUAGCUAGUUGGCGGGGUAAAGGCCCACCAAGGCGACGAUCCGUAGCUGGUCUGAGAGGAUGAUCAGGCCAAAUGGAACUGAGAAACGGUCCAGACUCCUACGGGAGGCAGCAGUGGGGAAUAUUGGACAAUGGGCGCAAGCCUGAUCCAGCCAUACCGCGUGGGUGAAGAAGGCCUUCGGGUUGUAAAGCCCUUUUGUUGGCAAAGAAAAGCAGCAGGUUAAUACCCCGCUGUUCUGACGGUACCCAAAGAAUAAGCACCGGCUAACUUCGUG
rnacentral:rRNA from 1 species